rnacentral:rRNA from 1 species
GCGUGCUUAACACAUGCAAGUCGAGCGGAAAGGCCUUUCGGGGUACUCGAGCGGCGAACGGGUGAGUAACACGUGAGUAAUCUGCCCCUAGCUCUGGGAUAGCUCCGGGAAACCGGGAUUAAUACCGGAUACGACCACUUUAGACAUCUGUUGUGGUGGAAAGAAUUUUGGCUAGGGAUGAGCUCGCGGCCUAUCAGCUUGUUGGUGGGGUAACGGCCUACCAAGGCGACGACGGGUAGCCGGCCUGAGAGGGCGACCGGCCACACUGGGACUGAGACACGGCCCAGACUCCUACGGGAGGCAGCAGUGGGGAAUAUUGCGCAAUGGGCGAAAGCCUGACGCAGCGACGCCGCGUGGGGGAUGAAGGCCUUCGGGUUGUAAACCCCUUUCAGCAGGGACGAAGCGAAAGUGACGGUACCUGCAGAAGAAGCGCCGGCUAACUACGUGCCAGCAGCCGCGGUAACACGUAGGGCGCAAGCGUUGUCCGGAAUUAUUGGGCGUAAAGAGCUCGUAGGCGGUCUGUUGCGUCCGCUGUGAAAACUCGGGGCUUAACCCCGAGCCUGCAGUGGAUACGGGCAGACUAGAGGUAGGUAGGGGAGAAUGGAAUUCCCGGUGUAGCGGUGAAAUGCGCAGAUAUCGGGAGGAACACCGGUGGCGAAGGCGGUUCUCUGGGCCUUACCUGACGCUGAGGAGCGAAAGCGUGGGGAGCAAACAGGAUUAG